GAUGAACGCUAGCGGCAGGCUUAACACAUGCAAGUCGAGGGGCAGCACGAUUGCUUGCAAUUGGUGGCGACCGGCGCACGGGUGCGUAACGCGUAUGCAACUUACCCUUUACAGGGAGAUAGCCCGGGGAAACUCGGAUUAAUAUCUCAUAGUAUCAUAAUGCCACAUGGUAUAAUGAUUAAAGAUUUAUCGGUAAAGGAUGGGCAUGCGUAAGAUUAGCUAGUUGGUAAGGUAACGGCUUACCAAGGCUACGAUCUUUAGGGGGCCUGAGAGGGUGGAACCCCCACACUGGUACUGAGACACGGACCAG
rnacentral:rRNA from 1 species